UAUCCAUGAUGAGGAUAAGUAUUCAAAAAGUCUUUAAACCUUUCUUAGCAUUGAUAAAAGGUUUCACUCUCUUUUGUUCAAAAUUCAUAAUUUGCUUUUUUAGGGCA